AGUGAACGCUGGCGGUAGGCCUAACACAUGCAAGUCGAACGGCAGCACAGUAAGAUUUUGCUCUUACGGGUGGCGGGUGGCGGACGGGUGACGAAUACAUCGGCAUCUAAUAUUUCGUGGGGGAUAACGUAGGGCAACUUACGCUACUACCGCAUACGACCUACGGGUGAAAGCAGGGGUUCUUCGCACCUUGCGCGACACUUUGAGCCGAUGUCGGAUUAGCUAGUUGGCGGGGUAAGGGCCCACCAAGGCGACGAUCCGUAGCUGCUCUGAGAGGAUGAUCAGCCACACUGGAACUGAGACACGGUCCAGACUCCUACGGGAGGCAGCAGUGGGGAAUAUUGGACAAUGGGCGCAAGCCUGACCCAGCCAUACCGCGUGGGUGAAGAAGGCCUUCGGGUUGUAAAGCCCUUUUGUUAGGAAAGAAAAGCUGCGGGUGUAUCCCCCCCUGUUCUGACGGUACCCAAAGAGUAAGCCCCGGCUAACUACGUG
rnacentral:rRNA from 1 species